UAUAAAAGGGGGGUACUAAUUUAGUGCCUAAAUAAAGGUUAUUGUGACUGCGUCCCGAUUGUCCACCCUCGUGCCAACGUCUGCAUUUGCACGGUCCCGUCAUGGAUUUAAAAGCAUUCGGUUCAUGAAAGCAUUGGCUGAAGGGAGUUUCCACCAUUUUGUUAAAUGGUUUGACGGUGGAGUCUGGAAAUGCUCACUUUGGGAGAAGGGUGGAGAAUUGGGACUUGGCCUAAUACACUCUUCUUCUUUUUUUUCCAUUACCAUACUUUUGAGAUCCGGCUGGGUUGAACUCGCUCCAAACUGCCAAGUGAAGAGACAUGCUUCUUUUUCAUGAUUUAAGAAGUGUGUGUGUGUGUGUGUGUGUGUGUGUGGUAGUUUGUCCAACAGUGGUGGUACCACACAGAAAUGCUUUGGCUGUACCUCAGGAAUGGCAACGGGGCUCUUUCCGCGUAUUCGUCUACAUUACUGCCGACCUUGUCAGUGUCGGCGCUGGUAGUUGCCAACGUUUACUGCCGUGAUGCUGAAGGGAUCCAUCGGCCCGGUCUAGACUAAAGAGUGACUACCUGCGGUGCCGGGCCUGUAAGCCUGCGGUGCCGGGCCUGUAAGCCGCAGAUCAGGGACCGGGCUGUAGGAGACCAGGGACCGGGUUGUAGGAGACCACAGAUCUGGGACCGGGCUGUGGGAGACCAGGGACCGGGUUGUAGGAGACCACAGAUCAGGGACCGGGCUGUAGGAGACCAGGGAUCUGGGACCGGGUUGUAGGAG
ensembl:lncRNA